AUUUUUGCUAAAAUUUCUCUUUACCUUAUUUUGUGCUGCCCAAACCUUGAACCCUAGUUAUAAAUACAACUUUUUCUUAUAUUUUUUAGCCUUUAAUUCAAACUUCCCUACCCUAGUCGUUCACUCUCUUCCUCUCAUCUUUUCUCUUCAAUUUUAUUUAUUUAUUUCUUUCUUUGUGUGCUGCCACCAAAGCCACCAAGAUUCACCAUUAAUUUCUCUUCUUUUUAAAAGGGGUUCUUGUACCAUUAUUUUUGUUUUCUUUAUGUCAUUUUAUCAUAAAAUUUUCAGCCUUAAAUUUGAAAUUUUAGCACUCAAGAUCAGCCUCCAUUGAUGCCCAAAAGAACUCCAUUGUCCUCUAUCUUCUUUCUUGAUGUUUAACUUUUCAGGUAAACCUUGAAACUAGGACCAAACCUGACAUACGAAGGAUCACCUUGGACCUUAGUCUAUUUUUAAUAAGUUGUCUUCUCACAUUAUAAUCUAUCGAUAUAAUGCAACUUAUUAUUAGUUAAAUUUAGGCAAUCAAUGAGUCAAUAUUUGCUUAUCCAUUUUGUUUUUCAUGAAAAAACAAUUGAAACAUUCAUAAAGAGGAUUUUAAAUAAAAAUAUGGUAACGUUUAUUUAUCCAAUAAAUUCAGAAAAUUACAAGUAGACUAUGAUGAAAUCACUACGCAAAGAGUACAAAUCCAAACAUCAAAGGGGGAUGAGGCCCCUUUCCUUGGCCAUUUUUUCAUCAAGUGGGAUGAUACCUCUUAGCUUCGCCAUCAUUAGGAUCCAAUGAAGGAUCUGACUCCUUGCCUUAGCCAUUUUCUCAACAAAGAGGAUAAGACCUCUCACCUUGGUCUUUAUUAGGAUUUAGGGGGGACAAGGACCCUAGUAAGCUAUCAAGCUGUAUAAGGGAUAGAAGAGUUUGGAAAAUAAGUUGCUCUUCUUCUUUAACUCCCUUCAUGCUUUCACUCAGGUGCUUCUGCUCAUGCCCUUUUAAUCAACAAUGAUAGGAUUGUUGGGAUCUAGUGCCCUUAGUGUGUAAUUUUUCAAAUAGUUUGGUUUAAUAAAACUCCAUUAUUCACAUUAUUAUUCUUUGUAUUUGUUCUUAAUGUUGGUUGCACGCAAAGCAAAAUGUAUAAGCAAAUAUUGACUCAUUGAUUAUCUAAUGUUUAACUAAUAUUAAGUUGCAUAAUAUGGUUGAAUCACAAUGCGAGAAGACAACUUAUAUUAAUAGGUAAUCUAAAUGGUCUAUAGUUUAAAGAAUCAAAAUUGAGGGAAUUGAUUAAACAACUAUUAUGCCGUCUAUCAAGUUCAAUUUGAGACAUAGGUGUAAUUGUCUGGAUUGAAGAUACAUCAAACAAGACCCAAGUUGAAAUUAUCCUAGUUCUAUAUAUGGAUUUAUUCACUUGUGAUGUUCAUAGUGUGGCUUACCUCAAUCCUAAGUAUGUGAUUGACUAUAUGUGCAUGGCUCAUAUACUUUUAUGUAUUAAAAACCUAAGUUCAAUUGAUAAGAGAGCAAAAAGUUGGUA